UACGGAGGGAGCUAGCGUUGUUCGGAAUUACUGGGCGUAAAGGGCGCGUAGGCGGUUCGGUAAGUCCUGUGUGAAAUCCCUCGGCUCAACUGAGGAACUGCACGGGAGACUGCCGGGCUUGAGUUCGGGAGAGGGAAGCGGAAUUCCGGGUGGUAGCGGUGAAAUGCGUAGAUAUCCGGAGGAACACCGGUGGCGAAGGCGGCUUCCUGGACCGACACUGACGGCUGAGGCGCGAAAGCUAGGGGAGCAAACGGG
rnacentral:rRNA from 1 species